AUUAGAGUGUUCAAGCAGGCAGAUCCAAUUUUCUGCCACCGAAUACAUUAGCAUGGGAUAAUGGAAUAGGACCCUGUCCUCCUAUUUUCAGUUGGUUUUGGCAGCGCGAGGACUAGGGUAAUGAUUAAUAGGGAUAGUUGGGGGCAUUAAUAUUUAAUUGUCAGAGGUGAAAUUCUUGGAUUUAUGAAAGAUUAACUUCUGCGAAAGCAUCUGCCAAGGAUGUUUUCAUUAAUCAAGAACGAAAGUUAGGGGAUCGAAGACGAUCAGAUACCGUCGUAGUCUUAACCAUAAACGAUGCCGACCAGCGAUUAGGAGACGUUGAAUACAAAACACCACCAUCGGUGCGGUCGUCCUUGGCGUCGGUCUUUCGGGGCCGGCGCGGGGGCGGCUUAGCCCGGUGGCACCGGUGAAUGAC
rnacentral:rRNA from 1 species